AGUGAACGCUGGCGGUAGGCCUAACACAUGCAAGUCGAACGGCAGCACAGUAAGAGCUUGCUCUUACGGGUGGCGAGUGGCGGACGGGUGAGGAAUACAUCGGAAUCUACUUUUUCGUGGGGGAUAACGUAGGGAAACUUACGCUAAUACCGCAUACGACCUACGGGUGAAAGCAGGGGAUCUUCGGACCUUGCGCGAUUGAAUGAGCCGAUGUCGGAUUAGCUAGUUGGCGGGGUAAAGGCCCACCAAGGCGACGAUCCGUAGCUGGUCUGAGAGGAGGAUAGGCCACACUAGAACUGAGACACGGUCCAGACUCCUACGGGAGGCAGCAGUGGGGAAUAGUGGACAAUGGGCGCAAGCCUGAUCCAGCCAUACCGCGUGGGUGAAGAAGGCCUUCGGGUUGUAAAGCCCUUUUGUUGGGAAAGAAAAGCAGCAGGUUAAUACCCCGCUGUUCUGACGGUACCCAAAGAAUAAGCACCGGCUAACUUCGUG
rnacentral:rRNA from 1 species